AGGCAAUAGAUACCCAGGUAGUCCCAGCCGUAAACGAUGGAUACUAGGUGUCGGGGGUAUCGACCCCCCGGUGCCGCAGCUAAACGCAUUAAGUAUCCCGCCUGGGGAGUACGGCCGCAAGGUUGAAACUCAAAGGAAUUGACGGGGGCCCGCACAAGCGGUGGAGCAUGUUGUUUAAUACGUCACUAACCGUAGAACCUUACCAGGGCUUGACAUCUGACGACCGCCUAUGAAAGUAGGUUUUCCCCGUCCAAGGGGACGUCAAGACAGUGUUGCAUGGCUGUCGUCAGCUCGUGUCGUGAG
rnacentral:rRNA from 1 species